rnacentral:rRNA from 1 species
UACGAAGGGGGCUAGCGUUGUUCGGAAUUACUGGGCGUAAAGCGCGCGCAGGCGGUUCUCCAAGUCAGUGGUGAAAGCCCGGAGCUCAACUCCGGAAUUGCCAUUGAAACUGUUGAACUUGAGGACGAGAGAGGUGAGUGGAAUUCCCAGUGUAGAGGUGAAAUUCGUAGAUAUUGGGAAGAACACCGGUGGCGAAGGCGGCUCACUGGCUCGUAUCUGACGCUCAGGUGCGAAAGCCAGGGGAGCGAACGGG